ensembl:lncRNA
CAACAGAAAACAUGGGCAUCAAUGGAAAAGAGCCUUUAUAGAGCAAAAACAGGAAAUGCCUUGGUGUGUAAUUACAGUCUAUUACUUACAGAUGUCAUCAGACAGACACACAGAGCAGAUCAUGGCUUUAAGUAGGAUAGGAGGGCUGUUAUCUAGCAUAGUCAUAGCUAAAGUAUGUCCUCAUAGACUAAAAUACUGCACUUCUCCUGACAUUCAGGACUAUACUGAUUCGCAAGGACUUGCUUUUGAAAUAUAAUUAGUCAUAUUCAAGAACAGUGAAUAAAGACGUCAAGUGGUUUCGCCUGCAGUAUCAGUCAUGAUGAAGGAGAGUGGAAGAAGCCAUGUUAUUGGGACACAGCUUAUGACGUGUCAAUUGUGGGCAUUUUAUAUUAGUGAAAGUUAAAAGCUGGGAAAAGUGGAUCCUUGGGACGUGCAACUCUGACGUUGCCCCAUUGAAGUUGAAAUGUAAAAUGGCUACGGUAAGGGUUAAGGUUAGGUAAGGGUUAAGGAUUUAGGCUAGGGACAUCCCAAGGAUACCAGAUAGCACUAAAAGCUGUUAUAUUACAGGAUCAUGUGCAGAAACAACAAAUGGAUGACACAGUGGGUACUAGUGUUGUAACCCUUCAUGCAUUUCACUUGAUUUGGGGUCAGUUUUGAACAAGAGAAGGUGAGUCUCAACUGUGUCUCAGGUCUAACUUCCAGUGUGUACUCAUUCAGCAGAGCUCCAAGCACAAUGUUAUGUUAUGUUCAAUUCCUGGGAAGUAACAACUCAGAAGCAUUUGUUUCACUAAACAUGGGUAAUGUUUAUUUUCGCUAGCGAGACACCUUGAGGAGAAAAUGCUCACUUCCUUGGUGAUGUUCAGCUUUCAGGAAACCCCUCUGUUACACCAAGCAGCAAAUGGGCAGCGCUGAAGUCACUCCUAACCACUGAUCUAUGAUCAGAUAUAUCUUUCAUCCCCCUCAUGGUUUAGGUUAGGGUGUGGGGUAAAGUAUCUGAUCCCAGAUCUGUGGUUAAUGGUAACUUCUACCUGGAGCCAGGAACGCCAGGGGAGGAGGGUCAUCCCAAAAGCGUUAUAGAGUUCUUCAGAGACAGAGAGCCUGGGGUACGGUACAGUACAUUAACAACAGAAUAAAAGACAAGUUACCGACAGCUACCAAGGCGACAGCUACCAAGGCGACUGUUACCGCAGAGCAGAUUUCUCCUCAGACAAAUGCACUUCAGAGUUACAUAAUAAUCAUGAGAAAUUAAACAAACAUGUGCAUUAACUGCCGUUCACCCAGCUCACUACAUCAUCCAUCUCAUCGUUUGAUACACAGAAACAGAUGCAGAAAUAAAGGGGCGGGAGUAAGGGCCGGGUUCGUCUAAUGAUUGGCAUUAUUUUGGGCGUGUCCUGUCAUUUCUCUCACCUGUCAAUCAAUCACAAGCCGAGUGCAGAUUCAAGUAAAUGGUUUUGUUACACAUUAUACAUUUUUGAAUCUUGUCUGAAGGUGCUGAAGUUCAUGGGGGGAGGGGAACUACCUUUUUGAAUCUUGUCCGAAGGUGCUGAAGUUCAUGGGGGGAGGGGAACUACAUUUUUCUUCCCCAAAAUUUGGGAGGUAUUAAAAACUUAACAAAAAACGACAAAUAAUCUGGUGAAAGCCUCAGAAAAAGCAACUACACUGGUUAGUCAGUUAGUUAUAACAAACAGAAGUCCAGAGAGAAAGUGCUUUAAGAGAGUUAUUGGAGAGUUAAGGGUAUUGGUAGAGGCUGUUUUAGAAGGACUGAAAGUGCUUUAAGAGAGUUAUUAGAGAGUUCAGGGUAUUGGUAGAGGCUGUUUUAGAAGGACUGAAAGUGCUUUAAGAGAGUUAUUAGAGAGUUCAGGGUAUUGGUAGAGGCUGUUUUAGAAGGACUGAAAGUGCUUUAAGAGAGUUAUUAGAGAGUUCAGGGUAUUGGUAGAGGCUGUUUUAGAAGAGAGUUAUUAGAGAGUUCAGGGUAUUGGUAGAGGCUGUUUUAGAAGAGAGUUAUUAGAGAGUUCAGGGUAUUGGUAGAGGCUGUUUUAGAAGAGAGUUAUUAGAGAGUUCAGGGUAUUGGUAGAGGCUGUUUUAGAAGAGAGUUAUUAGAGAGUUCAGGGUAUUGGUAGAGGCUGUUUUAGAAGAGAGUUUAAAGUGAGUAAAGUUCUUUCCUUUCCCCCAGACAGGAACACUGGGGUACAUCACCAGAGAACUGAUACAGGCGAGUCCGUCGUCGUGUUCAAGUCACGAGAUACGACGUCGUCGUCUUGUUGUUGUUGUCUUCAGCAGAAAAGAUGGCAAAACCCUUAGUUUCCGUGUGGUUAGGCUAAUUAUUUAAGGUCCUAUGUCAUUAGUGUUUGCCUUCUAGCAGGGAGUUCUCUGUAUGUUUACUGUUGAUUUCUAUUCCGCUCCUGAGGAAAGAAAGAGAGAGAGGGGAAAAUAAACCAAAUUAGAGGAUGCAUAAGUGGGAGGGGAAAAAACACAUGGAAUGCUGUUAGAAAACAUCCUCAGGGAAAUUAGUAUUUCUUUGACUGAAUCGCUUGUCCUCCGUUUAUGUGAUAAAAGCUCAGUGAUGCAAGACAUUGCAAGUUAAACAUCGAAGGGCCAAAUCCCCAAGGAACAUACAUGCACUUCACUUCAACAUUUGUGUAUGUCACACAGUGGUGUCAACUGAAGAGUUCUACCAAGAUGAGUUCUUGCUUGUGGAACUCUGAGUGACGAUUCAAACUCUCCUUUCUUUGAAAGGCUAGUUUCUGUAACUGUAAUCCUCAUAAUGGCUGAGUAUUCCCUUAACUGUUAAUGAUGACGGGUGACUGAUUUUCACCAGCUGAUGACGACUAGGGCUUAUAGAGCAUGGGCAGACCAGC